rnacentral:rRNA from 1 species
AUUGAACGCUGGCGGCAGGCCUAACACAUGCAAGUCGAGCGCGCGGCGGACGGGUGAGUAAUGUCUGGGAAACUGCCUGAUGGAGGGGGAUAACUACUGGAAACGGUAUCUAAUACCGCAUACCAUCAGAUGUGCCCAGGUGGGUUUAGCUAGUGGGUGGGGUAACGGCUCACCUAGGCGACGAUCCCUAGCUGGUCUGAGAGGAUGACCAGCCACACUGGAACUGAGACACGGUCCAGACUCCUACGGGAGGCAGCAGGGGGGAAUAUUGCACAAUGGGCGCAAGCCUGAUGCAGCCAUGCCGCGUGUAUGAAGAAGGCCUUCGGGUUGUAAAGCACUUUCAGCGGGGAGGCGUUACCCGCAGAAGAAGCACCGGCUAACUCCGUGCCAGCAGCCGCGGUAAUAC